GACGAACGCUGGCGGCGUGCUUAACACAUGCAAGUCGAGCGGAAAGGCCCUUCGGGGUACUCGAGCGGCGAACGGGUGAGUAACACGUGAGUAACCUGCCCCAGACUUUGGGAUAACCCUCGGAAACGGGGGCUAAUACCGGAUACGACACAGCUUCGCAUGGGGUCUGUGUGGAAAGUUUUUCGGUUUGGGAUGGGCUCGCGGCCUAUCAGCUUGUUGGUGGGGUGAUGGCCUACCAAGGCGACGACGGGUAGCCGGCCUGAGAGGGCGACCGGCGACACUGGGACUGAGACACGGCCCAGACUCCUACGGGAGGCAGCAGUGGGGAAUAUUGCACAAUGGUCGGAAGCCUGAUGCAGCGACGCCGCGUGAGGGAUGACGGCCUGCGGGUUGUAAACCUCUUUCAGCAGGGACGAAGCGUAAGUGACGGUACCUGCAGAAGAAGCGCCGGCCAACUACGUG
rnacentral:rRNA from 1 species